AGCGAACGCUGGCGGCAGGCUUAACACAUGCAAGUCGAGCGGGCAUCCAUGAGGUGUCAGCGGCUGACGGGUGCGUAACGCGUGGGAACGUGCCCUUCGUUUCGGUCUAACUCUGGGAAACUUGAGCUAAUACCGGAUACGUGCGAGAGCAGAAUGGUUUAUAUGCCGAAGGAUCGGCCAGCGUCUGAUUAGCUAGUUGGUGAGGUUAUGGCUCACCAAGGCGACGAUCAGUAGCUGGUCUGAGAGGAUGAUCAGCGACACUUGGACUGGGACACGGCCCAGACUCCUACGGGAGGCAGCAGUGGGGAAUAUUGGACAAUGGGGGCAACCCUGAUCCAGCCAUGCCGCGUGAGUGAUGACGGCCUGAGGGUUGUAAAGCUCUUUUCUCCGGGACGAUAAUGACGGUACCGGAGGAAUAAGCCCCGGCUAACUUCGUG
rnacentral:rRNA from 1 species